ensembl:lncRNA
CAGAGAGAGACAGAGAACAGAGAGACACAGAGAGAGAGAGAGAGACAGAGAACGAGAGAGAGAUAGACAUAGAGAGAGAUAUACAGAGAGACAGACACAGAGAGAGAGAGAGAGAGAGAGAGAGAACGAGAGAGAGAGAGACAUAGAGAGAGAUAUAUAGAGAAGUGAGAGAGAUAUACAGAGAGACAGACACAGAGAGAGAGAGAGAAGAAACGAGAGAGAGAGAGACAUAGAGAGAGAUAUACAGAGAGACAGAGAACGAGAGAGAGAGAGAGAACGAGAGAGAGAGAGAGAACGAGAGAGAGAGAGAACGAGGGAGAGAGAAAUAACUGCAUAACAAGCAGAAAGCAGCCAAGACAGAUUUACAAAUUCAUCUCAAGACAGAAGUGAAAAGCAGAUCUGCAACAGUAGCAACACACACACACACACACACACACACACACACACACACACACACACCUGCUUACAGCUCUAAUUUUAUUUGACACAAAGCAGCUGAAAUCAGCAGAAACGCCCGCACUGUUUUUUUGUCGUCCCCCCUCCCCCCUCCCCCUCACCUCUCGGGUCAGCUGCUUCCCUCUUAUCACUGACCAGGUCCCUGAACUCUGACCUCUUUCCCAAUCAAGCAAAAUAUGUCUGGAUUAAACAGAUUUUUUUUCCCCUAACACGUGACGGAGGGUUUGGCGGUUUCUUGGUAACAUGACGAGCUUAAACGAGUUUGGUGAAAGAACGCGUGCCGCUUACAGCCGUUACACCAUCACCGAUGAAGUCGAUUCACGGACCUUCUCCAACAUUAAACGUAACUGUAGACGGAUCGUAAGUACGACGCGUCGCGCGUGUCCGGACGUAAUAAUCGGCCCAUUGUCGUCGUAUACGAGCGAUAAGACGUAUUAUUUCUUUAAAUACUGGACACCUCUGGUGUUGUUCUUAUCGGGUUACAUCACACCGUCCUGCUGUUGAUUAUUUUCCCAUGACAGCACAGCUCCCGAGUAUUUCAUUUCUCACGUAGCGAAACAGAUCCCGAGCAGUACGAGCGCUACGUCGUUUUAUUUUCAUUCCUCUCUCUCUCUCCGUACGCCGCGCGUCAUUCCAGCGACUACAUUUAAACAUUUAAAAAGAAACGUCUGACUUUUUCAGCCGACCCGGUGACUUUUUACUCCUUCCCGCAGUGUCCGCUCGGUAUUAGAGAACAUGCCCAGGGUGAUGUCUUGGUCAAUGGAUAAAAUUAAAACUAAAAUAGAAAUUGAUAUUUGAUUUAAAAAAAAAAAAAAAAAAAAAAAAAAGCUUUCACAAGAACAAAUAUUGUACUUCUUUCUUUUUUUUUUUUUUUUAAAUUUUUUUAAAUUUAUUUUAUUUUAAUUUUAUUUAUUUAAAAAAUCAUUUUUAUUUAAAUAAUAAUAAUUAAAAAAAAAAAAAAAAAAGCUCUCACAAGAACAAAUAUUGUACUUUCUUCUUUUUUUUUUUUUAAAUUAUUAUUAUUUAAAUAAAAAUGAUCGGAUGCAUCAGCUCCUGUUUUUUAAAAAAAAAAAUAAAAAUUUAUCAGGUACUUUCUCGUCUGGAUUUUAGCAGAACGAGAAAAAUAGACGUAACGGUAACGCGACAUUAAAGCUGCGGUAACCGUUUUGCACAACACUGGAAAAAGAGGUUAAAGCGUCUACUGUGUGUUUAAAUUUGCUCUUCGGAAUCCCUUGAUAGACUCGGACAAUCCUAAGCCCAAGUCUCACACACACACACACACACACAGAGAGAUUGACAGAUUGUUUACCACCAGCCCGAUAGUGUUGUCUAGGUUAUAAUCCUCUAAUCCCUGCUGGGAGUUUUCUGUCUUUUGGAGGUCUUGGCGUCUGUCCGGGAUCCGCCUGACACAACCAGAUUGAACAAGCAGUGAUGAUUAGGAUGAGGUCGAUAUGUGUGCAUGCUUUCUGAUGAUGCAGACUCUUCCCCCCCCCCCCC